rnacentral:rRNA from 1 species
UUAAGCGACUAAGCGUACACGGUGGAUGCCCUGGCAGUCAGAGGCGAUGAAGGACGUGCUAAUCUGCGAUAAGCGUCGGUAAGGUGAUAUGAACCGUUAUAACCGGCGAUUUCCGAAUGGGGAAACCCAGUGUGAUUCGUCACACUAUCAUUAACUGAAUCCAUAGGUUAAUGAGGCGAACCGGGGGAACUGAAACAUCUAAGUACCCCGAGGAAAAGAAAUCAACCGAGAUUCCCCCAGUAGCGGCGAGCGAACGGGGAGCAGCCCAGAGCCUGAAUCAGUGUGUGUGUUAGUGGAAGCGUCUGGAAAGGCGCGCGAUACAGGGUGACAGCCCCGUACACAAAAAUGCACAUACUGUGAGCUCGAUGAGUAGGGCGGGACACGUGGUAUCCUGUCUGAAUAUGGGGGGACCAUCCUCCAAGGCUAAAUACUCCUGACUGACCGAUAGUGAACCAGUACCGUGAGGGAAAGGCGAAAAGAACCCCGGCGAGGGGAGUGAAAAAGAACCUGAAACCGUGUACGUACAAGCAGUGGGAGCCUCUUUUAUGGGGUGACUGCGUACCUUUUGUAUAAUGGGUCAGCGACUUAUAUUCUGUAGCAAGGUUAACCGAAUAGGGGAGCCGAAGGGAAACCGAGUCUUAACUGGGCGUUAAGUUGCAGGGUAUAGACCCGAAACCCGGUGAUCUAGCCAUGGGCAGGUUGAAGGUUGGGUAACACUAACUGGAGGACCGAACCGACUAAUGUUGAAAAAUUAGCGGAUGACUUGUGGCUGGGGGUGAAAGGCCAAUCAAACCGGGAGAUAGCUGGUUCUCCCCGAAAGCUAUUUAGGUAGCGCCUCGUGAACUCAUCUCCGGGGGUAGAGCACUGUUUCGGCAAGGGGGUCAUCCCGACUUACCAACCCGAUGCAAACUGCGAAUACCGGAGAAUGUUAUCACGGGAGACACACGGCGGGUGCUAACGUCCGUCGUGAAGAGGGAAACAACCCAGACCGCCAGCUAAGGUCCCAAAGUCAUGGUUAAGUGGGAAACGAUGUGGGAAGGCCCAGACAGCCAGGAUGUUGGCUUAGAAGCAGCCAUCAUUUAAAGAAAGCGUAAUAGCUCACUGGUCGAGUCGGCCUGCGCGGAAGAUGUAACGGGGCUAAACCAUGCACCGAAGCUGCGGCAGCGACACUAUGUGUUGUUGGGUAGGGGAGCGUUCUGUAAGCCUGUGAAGGUGUGCUGUGAGGCAUGCUGGAGGUAUCAGAAGUGCGAAUGCUGACAUAAGUAACGAUAAAGCGGGUGAAAAGCCCGCUCGCCGGAAGACCAAGGGUUCCUGUCCAACGUUAAUCGGGGCAGGGUGAGUCGACCCCUAAGGCGAGGCCGAAAGGCGUAGUCGAUGGGAAACAGGUUAAUAUUCCUGUACUUGGUGUUACUGCGAAGGGGGGACGGAGAAGGCUAUGUUGGCCGGGCGACGGUUGUCCCGGUUUAAGCGUGUAGGCUGGUUUUCCAGGCAAAUCCGGAAAAUCAAGGCUGAGGCGUGAUGACGAGGCACUACGGUGCUGAAGCAACAAAUGCCCUGCUUCCAGGAAAAGCCUCUAAGCAUCAGGUAACAUCAAAUCGUACCCCAAACCGACACAGGUGGUCAGGUAGAGAAUACCAAGGCGCUUGAGAGAACUCGGGUGAAGGAACUAGGCAAAAUGGUGCCGUAACUUCGGGAGAAGGCACGCUGAUAUGUAGGUGAAGUCCCUCGCGGAUGGAGCUGAAAUCAGUCGAAGAUACCAGCUGGCUGCAACUGUUUAUUAAAAACACAGCACUGUGCAAACACGAAAGUGGACGUAUACGGUGUGACGCCUGCCCGGUGCCGGAAGGUUAAUUGAUGGGGUCAGCGCAAGCGAAGCUCUUGAUCGAAGCCCCGGUAAACGGCGGCCGUAACUAUAACGGUCCUAAGGUAGCGAAAUUCCUUGUCGGGUAAGUUCCGACCUGCACGAAUGGCGUAAUGAUGGCCAGGCUGUCUCCACCCGAGACUCAGUGAAAUUGAACUCGCUGUGAAGAUGCAGUGUACCCGCGGCAAGACGGAAAGACCCCGUGAACCUUUACUAUAGCUUGACACUGAACAUUGAGCCUUGAUGUGUAGGAUAGGUGGGAGGCUUAGAAGUGUGGACGCCAGUCUGCAUGGAGCCGACCUUGAAAUACCACCCUUUAAUGUUUGAUGUUCUAACGUAGACCCGUGAUCCGGGUUGCGGACAGUGUCUGGUGGGUAGUUUGACUGGGGCGGUCUCCUCCUAAAGAGUAACGGAGGAGCACGAAGGUUGGCUAAUCCUGGUCGGACAUCAGGAGGUUAGUGCAAUGGCAUAAGCCAGCUUGACUGCGAGCGUGACGGCGCGAGCAGGUGCGAAAGCAGGUCAUAGUGAUCCGGUGGUUCUGAAUGGAAGGGCCAUCGCUCAACGGAUAAAAGGUACUCCGGGGAUAACAGGCUGAUACCGCCCAAGAGUUCAUAUCGACGGCGGUGUUUGGCACCUCGAUGUCGGCUCAUCACAUCCUGGGGCUGAAGUAGGUCCCAAGGGUAUGGCUGUUCGCCAUUUAAAGUGGUACGCGAGCUGGGUUUAGAACGUCGUGAGACAGUUCGGUCCCUAUCUGCCGUGGGCGCUGGAGAACUGAGGGGGGCUGCUCCUAGUACGAGAGGACCGGAGUGGACGCAUCACUGGUGUUCGGGUUGUCAUGCCAAUGGCACUGCCCGGUAGCUAAAUGCGGAAGAGAUAAGUGCUGAAAGCAUCUAAGCACGAAACUUGCCCCGAGAUGAGUUCUCCCUGACCCUUUAAGGGUCCUGAAGGAACGUUGAAGACGACGACGUUGAUAGGCCGGGUGUGUAAGCGCAGCGAUGCGUUGAGCUAACCGGUACUAAUGAACCGUGAGGCUUAACCUU